rnacentral:rRNA from 1 species
GACGAACGCUGGCGGCGUGCUUAACACAUGCAAGUCGAGCGAGGCCCUUCCUUCGGGAAGGUGCCCUAGCGGCGAACGGGUGAGUAACACGUGGGCAACCUGCCCCUAGCACUGGGAUAACUCCGGGAAACCGGGGCUAAUACCGGAUAUGACCUUUGAGGGCAUCCUCUUUGGUGUAAAGGAUUCUGGCUAGGGAUGGGCCCGCGGCCUAUCAGCUUGUUGGUGGGGUAACGGCCUACCAAGGCGACGACGGGUAGCCGGCCUGAGAGGGCGACCGGCCACACUGGGACUGAGACACGGCCCAGACUCCUACGGGAGGCAGCAGUGGGGAAUAUUGCACAAUGGGCGAAAGCCUGAUGCAGCGACGCCGCGUGAGGGAUGACUGCCUUCGGGUUGCAAACCUCUUUCAGCAGGGACGAAGCGAAAGUGACGGUACCUGCAGAAGAAGCACCGGCCAACUACGU